CUGAACCAGUUUGAUUUGCUGCAGGGUAUUAACAGACUCUUUUUAAUUAAAGAGUCCGAUAUAAAUGAACUUUUUCCUUUAACUAUGCUUGGCGACAAAACGAGGCGGCAUCCAAUUCAACUGUAAGUUCUAAUAAUAGUUGGCUCAGUUCUUUUGAAAAAUCAAAGAACUUAGCAGAAAGUACACCGGUUAUAAGCUUAGAUGUUAUUCUUCAAUCGACUCUCAGAGGGCGAAGCGUGUUGCAACAAUAUAAAGACAACUCAUUGUUGUUAGAUGAGCACCGCGAAGUUUUGGUAAAUACCAUAGUAGAACAUUUUUCAGAGCGCUCGCUGCCUAUGGCAAUGAGCGAUAUUAUUCAUUUUGCAGAGCAAAUCGUAUCUUUUUUCCGACUGAAGAUUUGCGAUAUUAUUGCAACCGACGAAGUGGCGAAAACCCAACAGGAAAGCUGUAUGACAAAGCAACUAAUGUUCGGCGCAAAAUUAGCAAACAGUCACAAAUUACGGAUGCAACCAAUUAUCGACAGAGUCCCCAAGAAAAUUUGCUUUCAAAUUC